AGAGUUUGAUCAUGGCUCAGGACGAACGCUGGCGGCGUGCUUAACACAUGCAAGUGGAGCGACGAACCAGGGCUUGCCCUGGGGCAGAGCCGCGAACGGGUGAGUAACACGUGGGUAACCUACCCCGAUGACCGGGACAACCCGAGGAAACUCGGGCUAAUACCGGAUGUUCUCGCUUCCUGUAAGGGAAUCGAGCAAAGAUAGCUUCGGCCUUCGCAUCGGGACGGGCCCGCGGCCCAUUAGCUUGUUGGUGGGGUAACGGCCUACCAAGGCUGCGAUGGGUAGCUGGUCUGAGAGGACGAUCAGCCACACUGGGACUGAGACACGGCCCAGACUCCUACGGGAGGCAGCAGUGGGGAAUCUUGCGCAAUGCGCGAAAGCGUGACGCAGCAACGCCGCGUGGGGGAAGAAGGCCUUCGGGUUGUAAACCCCUUUCAGUUGGGACGAAGCUUCGUCGGUUAAUAGCCGGCUGGAGUGACGGUACCUUCACAAGAAGCCCCGGCUAACUACGUGCCAGCAGCCGCGGUAAUACGUAGGGGGCGAGCGUUGUCCGGAAUCAUUGGGCGUAAAGCGCGUGUAGGCGGUCCGGUAAGUUCGCUGUGAAAGUCGGGGGCUUAACCCUCGGAUGCCGGUGAAUACUGUCGGGCUUGAGUACGGAAGAGGCGAGUGGAAUUCCUGGUGUAGCGGUGAAAUGCGCAGAUAUCAGGAGGAACACCAAUUGCGAAGGCAGCUCGCUGGGACGUUACUGACGCUGAGACGCGAAAGCGUGGGGAGCAAACAGGAUUAGAUACCCUAGUAGUCC
rnacentral:rRNA from 1 species